rnacentral:rRNA from 1 species
AUAGGUGCCUGUACCGACAACCGACACAGGUGGUCAAGGAGAGUAUCCUAAGGUGAGCGAGAGAACUAUGGUUAAGGAACUCGGCAAAAUGACCCCGUAACUUCGGGAGAAGGGGUGGUCUAGCGAUAGACCCGCAGUGAAUAGGCCCAGGCAACUGUUUACCAAAAACACAGGUCUCUGCUAACACGUAAGUGGAUGUAUAGGGGCUGACGCCUGCCCAGUGCUGGAAGGUUAAAGAGAUUAGUUAGUAUGACGUAAGUCGAUAAUACAAAGCUUUGAACUGAAGCCCCAGUGAACGGCGGCCGUAACUAUAACGGUCCUAAGGUAGCGAAAUUCCUUGUCAGGUAAGUUCUGACCCGCACGAAAGGCGUAAUGAUCUGGGUACUGUCUCAACCAUAGACUCGGUGAAAUCUUAAUACCUGUGAAAAUGCAGGUUACCCGCGACUGGACGGAAAGACCCCGUGGAGCUUUACUGUAGCUUGAUAUUGGAAUUCGGUAAACUAUGUAGAGCAUAGGUGGGAGACUAUGAGACUAAGGCGCCAGCCUUAGAGGAGUCACCAUUGGAAUACCACCCUUAGUUUAUUGGAUUUCUAACCUAGAGCCAUUAUCUGGUUCAGGGACAGUGUCUGGUGGGCAGUUUGACUGGGGCGGUCGCCUCCUAAAAUGUAACGGAGGCGUUCAAAGGUUCCCUCAGAAUGGUUGGAAAUCAUUCAAAGAGCGUAAAGGUAUAUAGGGAGCUUGACUGCGAGACCUACAAGUCAAGCAGGUGCGAAAGCAGGACUUAGUGAUCAGGCGAUUCAGAAUGGAAUGGUCGUCGCUUAACGGAUAAAAGUUACCCCGGGGAUAACAGGCUGAUACCACCCAAUAGUUCACAUAGACGGUGGUGUUUGGCACCUCGAUGUCGGCUCGUCAUAUCCUGGAGGUGGAGUCGCUUCCAAGGGUUGGGCUGUUCGCCCAUUAAAAUGGCACGCGAGCUGGGUUCAGAACGUCGUGAGACAGUUCGGUCCCUAUCCGUCGUGGGCGCAGGAAAAUUGAGGAGAGCUAUCCUUAGUACGAGAGGACCGGGAUGGACCUACCUCUGGUGUAUCUGUUGUCACGCCAGUGGCAGUGCAGAGUAGCUAUGUAGGGAAGGGAUAAACGCUGAAAGCAUCUAAGCGUGAAGCCCUCUCCAAGAUGAGUUUUCCCAUUGUUUAACAAGUAAAAUCCCAGAAAGACUAACUGGUAGAUAGGCUAGAAGUGGAAGUGUAGCGAUACAUUGAGCGGACUAGUACUAAUAGAUUGAGGAUUUAAUCCC